rnacentral:tRNA from 1 species
GCUGGGGUUGCCUAGCCUGGCGAGGCGGUCGGCUGCAGACCGACACACGAGAGUUCAAAUCUCUCCCCCAGCU